UAUGGUACAUUAAUAUGUAGAAAUGAAUUGUAUAUAUAUUUUUAAAUUGUAUUUAAUGGUGUAUGUUUAUUUCAUUUCCAGAUUAUAGCAUCUGAUAUUUUAAUAAAAAUGUGACUGUACACUACAAUACAAUACACAUGUACUGUGCGCGUCACAAGAAAUGAAUACAUGUUAACAAUGGGGCCUCCUACAGCUGAUGUUGAGAAUAUGGAAUGGGGUAUUAUUGUAUAAUAGUAUGAAUUAGCUGCUCUUAAUAUGAAAUGCCAUCUUUAUUUAAUACAUACUCACAUAGUGAGGUGUUCUGUAUACUCUGGGAGGGGAUAUAAAGAAGGAGCCCUGUCUUUGGAUUUUGCCAAUAAUAGAAAUGUACAAAUAGAGAGACACUCCUUUGAAAUAUAUAGCUCUCUAAUACGCUACUGAGGCCCCAUUCUUGUAUAAAGCAGCCACUGCAGUGACUUCAAAUGGACUGAACUCAAUAUAUCACUUGUAUCUUUCACAGUAAGGUACAGAUGCUACUAUGCUCAUCACUAUCACUACUAUUUCUACUACCAUCAUGGGUACCGCUGCGCUCGCAGAAUCUCAUCAAGCAGCUUCUUGAAGGAUCCCAGGGUGUCAGCUUCAACAAAAUUACUAGGGAGUUGGUUCCAGACCCUCACAAUUCACUAUGUAAAAAAAGUGCCUCCUAUUUUCUGUUCUGAAUGCCCCUUUAUCUAAUAUCCACGUGUGACCCCUGGUCCUUGUUUCUUUUUUGAUGUUGAAAAAGUCCCUUGGGCCAACAUUGUCAAUACCUUCUAGGAUUUUGAAUGCUUGAAUCAGAUCACCGCGUAGUCUUCUUUGUUCAAGACUGAAUAGAUUCAAUUCUUUAAGCCUGUCUGCAUAUGACAUAUUCUUUCUAUAGCAGUGUGGCAAUGUGCUCCGCCCCUGUGUGAAUUUCUGUGUUGUAUGUUGCGUGUGUUAAUGUUGGUGUAUAGAGAUUGGUACACAGGAUAUAAACGGGUCUGUGUUUCACGUGGUAUUUAAAUUGUAUAAUUGUAUUUAGGCACGGGAUUGCACAUCACUGUACGUGCAUUUAAAGUAAGUAAUAUGCGCGCACGAGGUUGCACAUAAUUAAUUCACAUUCUGGGAUUCAAGUGAAUAAUUAAUUAUUAAUUGAAUCCCAGCACAACAGUAUAAAUAGAUGCACGUUUCAUUCAUUCGUGGUUGUGUGUUCAGGGCGAAAGAACAGAGAGAGAGAGUGAGGAGAACGAGAACGAGAACGUGAAAGUGAGCAAUUGCUACGUGGUGCUGCAGGACCAGCACAGUACGUGUUUGUUUAGUGUUCGUUUUUGUUUGUCUCUUUGUUUUGGCUACCAGUGCCGUGUUUUGUGUUACAACCUUUUUAUUUUCUGUCUGUUACUUAUUAAAUGCUGAGCGCGAUCACGCGCUCAGCUUCACCAAAA